AUCAAAAACUGAUUGAGUAACUUCAGUUUUAAGACAAUGCGAUUGUAAUUUUUGGACAACCGCAAGCAUAAUAGUUGACGUGAACGCUUUUGAAAACAUAUAACUCGGUAGCCAGAAAAGCUAUCAAGAAACUUUAAACUACAAAAAUAAUCUUGAUAACACAAGAAACAUUUUCUGUGUGCAUGAUACUU
ensembl:snoRNA F18C5.15 ncRNA